GCUUGGCAAGUGUUUGAAUAAAGUAAACUUGUUACAUGUGUUACAUGUUAGAAUAGGCUAACUAAAGUAAACGCUUGCCUAAAUAAGGUUUAUAUGAAUGCCCAGCCAAUUUAGCUUGACUUACUUUCUGGAUCCCAAGAAGCAGACCUGUUAACUGAAUUGUUAGAGCAGGAGUAGGUAGAUAGGAGGUAGAUAGGAGUCUGCAGAGUAAGGUUGGAGGGCAGGGAAAGGAGAUUCUUAGUUUAUAUGAAUUUUGGCUCUUGAUGGGAAUUAUCAGAGUGUGGGUUAAUAUUUAUCUGCACUAGUUGGAUGCUUUCACUGCAGUCCUCUGUUCCGUGAUCAAGCAAGUUAGAAGCAUAUGGUCUCAGUGAAAGUGAUAUAAAGUGAGCUCACAUAUGGUAGAAAAACAUCUUACCUAUUGUACAUGAAUAGGAUUGGCUGGGCAAAUGCAAGAAACAAGUUUGGGAUGCAGGUGCAAGUGAAUAUUCACUUAUAAAAGAGAGAUUAGCCCAUAUAUGAGGCAAUCCACAGGCACUCACUCCCUCCCUUGCCUGCAGAAAUACUGCAAAUGAGGAGUGAAUUCAGCUGGAUGGAAUGUGAUCAUGACUGAGAGCUUCCAAAACUUUCCAGUUUCCCAAAUGGUGACAGGAAGCUGCUGCUCUUGGUGGGCAACUGGAGAGAAUGGAACUUCCCUCUCUGGUAAAGCUGUUUCUCUCCAUUGCAGAGCUCUCCACAGAUUCAUAUCU